CACGCCAUCGUCCAAUGACAGGUUCAGGAUGGGGAUCAUAUACCUUUACAUUGAUUGGCCCGGGAAAUCUGAUCGGUCUACCGAGCUGGUCGGAGUAUUCACAAAAGGAGCUGGCUGUUAUCAGAGUGGGAGGAGGGAACGGGCGAUGGUGACGAUGAAGGGAUAAAAAUGAAAGAAUAAAGGAGGUUUAUAUCUGUGGUCUGCAAUCGAGCCGACGCUUUCAGGAAGAUUUGUGGGCGGUUGGAAAGGCGAGACGAGCUAAGCAGCAAUCGUUCCUUAAGCGAUAAUGCUUUGCAAAGGCCACUUUCCCUCCCUGGUUUCACCUUGCCUUCUGUGUGUGUGUGUGUGUGUGUGUGUGUGGCUUAGUGUGUGAUAGUCUGGUAGAUACACUAAGAGAACAAAUCAGCCUUGUAAGCAGGUAGAGCAUGGAUCUGGAGAGGACUGAAUGCGUAUUACAGAUCCUGACGAAAGGAAGAUGUGAUCAGAAUAAUUGGAAUUCAAUUGUUGAAGAGCUUGUGGCUCUCACACUUGAGAGGAGUGGCCUCCAUUUGAACCUGGAAACUGCACAGAAUGAGGCUCAUUAAACAGCUUCUCUCUGUGAGCCGAGGCAGAUGGAGGAGACUUGGGCUCAUUUAAUGGUCAGUUUAGCUAAUGCGCUAAUGGCUGCCGAGAGAGUGACAGCGAGCUAAUGAGCGCUUCAUUUGGCCAAUCAGCUCCGUUUCUCCCGUGCAUAAUCAGCAUCUCGGGCCUGGUUACUGCGGCACACGUCACCAAGACAAAUCCGCAGAUGUCUAAUUACUGCCCAAUUGUAGCAGCAGGGAACAUGCUUUUGCACCCUGUCUUCUCCUUCUGCUCGCUGCCUCCCGCGCAACGCUGAAAAACGGCUGCAACCGGCUAAUCUCCGACAUUUGUCAUACGAAGCUCUUUUUUUCCCACCUUUGGUUCAAGCAAAGGGGCAAGUUCGAGAUCGUAACAUCUGGAGCCGUGUACUGAAACAGUGCUGAAACCAUUAGAAGAAGGAUGAGUAAGAGCAACCACGAUGAACCUGGCAUGACGAGCUUUCCCAACGCUUUCGAAUCUACAAGAUCGUGUUCAAUUAUUGCUUCUCCCUGAUGGGGAAUUCCAGUACAAACCACAGUAUAAUAGCGACUGUGAAAGCUAAAUUGAUUAAAUGGAGAUGAUCCUAAACAUGAUUUGAACUGGAAACUGAAUGGUCCAGCUGAAAUCACUAAUGAAAUGAAACAAAAUGCUUGAAACCAACACACUAUCCAUCCAUCAGCAACUGUUUAUCUUUCUCCAUUUAAAAUGCUGCAGUCCAGUUUUUGCAAGUUGGAUUUUCUCCUAGAUCAUCAUCCCAUUCCACUUUUCAUCCGCU